CCUUGUACACACCGCCCGUCACACCACGAGAGUUUGUAACACCCGAAGUCGGUGGGGUAACCUUUAUGGAGCCAGCCGCCUAAGGUGGGACAGAUGAUUGGGGUGAAGUCGUAACAAGGUAGCCGUAUCGGAAGGUGCGGCUGGAUCACCUCCUUUCUAUGGAGA
rnacentral:rRNA from 1 species